GGAAGGAUGCGUGAGAGGAUGAAACGAGUGGCUUGCUAAGCCGCCAAGGGGGUUUUACCCCCUUCGAGGGUUCGAAUCCCUCUCCUUCCGCCA
rnacentral:tRNA from 1 species